UAGAAUAUAGCUCAAUGGUAGAGCACUUGUCAAAUAAAUAUGUGUGAGGCACUGGGUUCAAUCCCCAGUAUUGAAA
rnacentral:tRNA from 1 species